GAACCGUCGAGUGGUUCAGCAGAAGGGCAGCCAGGGUCAAGACUCUUCCUUCACUCGCUGCUUUGUGCACAUACCGGGCCAGGGACUCCAACCGGGCCAGAGCCGGUACCUCCGCCAUCUGGAUAAGAGCGGGGAGUUGAACUUCUUCAUGUUUCUCAGCAUGAUGCACAAACAGAUCCAACAGGAGAACCCACGGGCCGAGAUCCUGGAGGCCAUGAAGACGAUGAGAAGCCAGGUUUCAUCCUGGUGUCAGAGCUUAAGGUCAAACUGAUGAUACCUGGAGAACGACUUACAAAUCAAGAAGUGCAUGAACUUCUGAAUAAAGCUGGCAUGACAUCAGACGUGUGGAUCGACUAUGAGGAGUUUGUAAACAUCAUUGCUGUUCCCGCCGGUCAAUGCUGAUCAAACUACGAGUCCAGAACUUCCUGGGGUGCGUCCCUCAUAAUUCAGUGCGUUCCUUUAUAUCCUGCAAACAUUCCAGUCAGACUUCUCUAAAACAACACAAAAUGACAUAACCAUGAUCAUAUUUCACUGAUAAACACCUGGCAAAUUGCUUUAAUAAUUUACUAACCGUGGGAUUGCUUAAAAACUAACCGCACGUGUCUUUUAUAGUUAGUUAGUGGUUCAACUUUACAGAUACUCGUUCAAAUAAAGUUUGACUGAUACAGACAUCAGGUUAUUGCUUUGAAUUACCUUGUGUUAUUUGUGCCCUUAAAAGAAUAAGGUGCUUGGAUGUGUGUCAGAGGCAAAGAAAUCUUGAUUCAACACAACUUGCUGUUUCAAAAACAAUAAAUGUCUAAAUAUAACUAGCAAAGUACGCUACAGUCAAAACAUGUUGAAAUGAUUUAAAGAACCACAAGCAAAAUCUCUCAUACGCUGUUUGUGGACCAAAUCAUCUUCAGCUCAUAAAGACAGUUGUAAAUUCUCAUAUGGUCAUGUUAUUGUUUGCAUGGGUUUGUGUGUCUACAUUCAGACAAUAAAGAA